rnacentral:rRNA from 1 species
AGUGAACGCUGGCGGUAGGCCUAACACAUGCAAGUCGAACGGCAGCACAGUAAGAGCUUGCUCUUACGGGUGGCGAGUGGCGGACGGGUGAGGAAUACAUCGGAAUCUACUUUUUCGUGGGGGAUAACGUAGGGAAACUUACGCUAAUACCGCAUACGACCUACGGGUGAAAGCAGGGGAUCUUCGGACCUUGCGCGAUUGAAUGAGCCGAUGUCGGAUUAGCUAGUUGGCGGGGUAAAGGCCCACCAAGGCGACGAUCCGUAGCUGGUCUGAGAGGAUGAUAGGCCACACUGGAACUGAGACACGGUCAAGACUCCUAAGGGAGGCAGCAGUGGGGAAUAGUGGACAAUGGGCGCAAGCCUGAUCCAGCCAGACCGCGUGGGUGAAGAAGGCCUUCGGGUUGUAAAGCCCUUUUGUUGGGAAAGAAAAGCAGCAGGUUAAGACCCAGCUGUUCUGACGGUACCCAAAGAAUAAGCACCGGCUAACUUCGUG